CUAGGCUUGACAUCCCUUUGCAAAGUCCUUAACCGGACUCCUUUUCUUCGGAAGACAAAGGUGACAGGUGGUGCAUGGUUGUCGUCAGCUCGUGUCGUGAGAUGUUGGGUUAAGUCCCGCAACGAGCGCAACCCCUAUUUUUAGUUGCCAUCAGUUCGGCUGGGCACUCUAGAAAGACUGCCGAGGACAACUCGGAGGAAGGUGGGGAUGACGUCAAAUCAUCAUGCCCCUUAUGCUUAGGGCUACACACGUGCUACAAUGGCUGUUACAAAGGGCUGCGAGACCGCGAGGUGGAGCCAAUCCCAUAAAAACAGUCUAAGUUCGGAUUGUAGGCUGAAACUCGCCUACAUGAAGCCGGAGUUACUAGUAAUCGCAG
rnacentral:rRNA from 1 species